GAGUUUGAUCCUGGCUCAGGAUGAACGCUAGCGGCAGGCCUAAUACAUGCAAGUCGAACGGUAAAUAUUUUAGCAAUAAGAUAUGAGAGUGACGUACGGGUGCGUAACACGUAUGCAACCUACCUUGUACAGGAGUAUAGCUCGGGGAAACUCGGAUUAAUCCUUCAUAAUAUGAUUGGAUGGCAUCAUUUGAUCAUUAAAUUUUCGGAGGUACAAGAUGGGCAUGCGUCUGAUUAGUUAGUUGGCGGGGUAACGGCCCACCAAGACGAUGAUCAGUAGGGGAACUGAGAGGUUGAUCCCCCACACUGGCACUGAGAUACGGGCCAGACUCCUACGGGAGCAGCAGUAGGGAAUAUUGGUCAAUGGAUGGAAGUCUGAACCAGCCAUGCCGCGUGCAGGGAAGAAGGGCCUUCUGGGUUGUAAACUGGCUUUUGCCAGGGGAUAAAAUGGGCGUGCGCGCUUAAUUGAAGGUACCUGGUGAAUAAGCCACGGCUAACUACGU
rnacentral:rRNA from 1 species